UACGUAGGUGGCAAGCGUUGUCCGGAAUUACUGGGCGUAAAGGGCGCGUAGGCGGCCUGUUAAGUCGAACGUGAAAUCCCUGGGCUCAACCCAGGAACUGCGUCCGAUACUGGCAGGCUUGAAUUCGGAAGAGGGAAGCGGAAUUUCUGGUGUAGCGGUGAAAUGCGUAGAUAUCAGAAGGAACAUCAGUGGCGAAAGCGGCUUCCUGGUCCAGUACCGACGUUCAGGCACGAAAGCGUGGGGAGCAAACAGG
rnacentral:rRNA from 1 species